UACAGAGGGUGCAAGCGUUAAUCGGAAUUACUGGGCGUAAAGCGAGCGUAGUCGGUUAUUUAAGUCGGAUGUGAAAUCCCCGGGCUCACCUGGGAAUUGCAUUCGAUACUGGAUAGCUAGAGUUCGGCAGAGGGAAGCGGAAUUUCUGGUGUAGCGGUGAAAUGCGUAGAUAUCAGAAGGAACAUCAGUGGCGAAAGCGGCUUCCUGGACCAGAACUGACGAUCAGGCUCGAAAGCGUGGGGAGCAAACAGGG
rnacentral:rRNA from 1 species